rnacentral:tRNA from 1 species
UAGGCAGGAGCCAGAGGGUGAGGCAUUUAGCUGUUAACUAAAAUCUUAUGGGAUCGAGACCCAUCUGCCUAG